rnacentral:rRNA from 1 species
UGAGUAACACGUAAGCAAUCUACCUUUAGGUUUGGAAUAACCCCGCGAAAAGCAGGAUUAAUACCGAAUAAUGCAGCGGCACCGCAUGGUGAUGUUGUUAAAGUUCAUAAAACGCCUAUAGAUGAGCUUGCGUCUGAUUAGCUAGUNGGUGAGGUAACGGCCCACAAGGCAACNAUCAGUAGCUGGUCUGAAAGGAUGAUCAGCCACACUGGAACUGAGACACGGUCANACUCCUACGGGAGGCAGCAUUGAGGAAUAUUNGGGCAAUGCCCGCANGGUGACCCACCAACNCCNCGUGGGAGGAUGAAUGCCU